UUUGUAGGCUUCACAAGCUUUAGAAUUGCCAGAAAGCUUGCAGUUGUCAUAGAGAAGUUGAAGGCUUGGAGUGUGGAGGCCAAUGGUAAGGAGAUAGACUGGCAGAAUAAAUUAACCCAAGAAAUCAAGGAUCUAGACAGGAAAGAUUCUACCUCGGGCCUUCAUGAGACAAAAAGGAGAGAAGGUAACUGGCCAAGUUGGACUUGUCUCAGGGGAUCUUCUGGAAGAGAUUGUCUGGAGAGAACAUUCUAGACUUUUGUGGAUCAAGGAAGUGAAUUAUAACACUAAGUUUUUUUAUGUGAUCGCUAACUACCAUCGCAAAAGCAAUUUCUUGGAUAAAUUUCGAGUGGAUGGGAUAGUGCUUGACAUCAAGAAUGGUUUGAGAGGCGUAAGCUAAGGAUUCUAUAGUAAGGGUGUUCUUAGAAGUGUGCUGAAGAAAGGUCCAUCAUACACGUAUAUAUAAAAAUAAAUAUUUGUUCAGAAGAGUAUUUGAAUAAUAUUUUUGUAUAAUUACAAAUAUAUAAUUAAAUAUGGGUUAGUAAAAAAUGCUUACUACCUUUUGUCAGCACACCAUGUUAAAGAAAAUUGCAGGUACAAUCAUGAAGAAAAAAGCUCCACUGACAAAUCCUUGUAAUGCAAUUGUUGAUGGUAGACACUGCUGAAGUUUCUCUGAUAAAAAUUUGGGAAAUCAAAUACUAAGUAUGGCUCUACUUUAUUAACCAUGUUUUGUGUUGAUUAACUGGCGAGUAAUAAUUGAUAGUCACUAUUUAUGCAUUGGGCCUAGUCCAUGGGGUGUGCUAUGUGCACAGAGAGUUGCCGGCUAUUCUUCAUUGGGUUGUGCUGGCUCUUCUUCUUUUAUGUUUCUUUUUCUUUUCCCCUUCUUCGAGGUUAUCUUUUCCUCUGUUCCUGUAAUUAUCUUCCUAUUUCUGUGAUGCUUUUUUUUUCUAUAAAUAAAAAAAUAAUAAUUUGAAUUGAACAUUUUUUUUUUCAUAAAAGAAAUAAUUUUUCAAAUAUUGUGUAAAAGAAAUAAUAUGUGUAUUAUUGGUCAAGUUAAUUGAAUUGAAGCCUUCCAUGAUAAUUCAUGCUUAUGAAGUUAUCUUCCUUAAUCUUCAAAAUUCCUAUGAGCUUGAUUCAAAGCGGGUACCAUCUCCCUGGAAGUUCAGUUUGAAAUCAUGUUAUGGAAUUCCCAUGAUUGACUAACAUCCGUCAUUACUUAUGUUGCAGUGGUAUGGUUGUCCAAGAUCCUUCAAAGGAUAAUGAUGUGGAUGCAAUAUUCAAUCAAGCUAGAGAGCUAGGAGCUGUAGAAGGGCCUACCGAGCAGUUUCGUCCUUCAAGCUCAAGAAGCUUCACUGGAACUGGUAGAUUACUCUCUGGAGAGCCUGUACCAUCUGCUCCUCAGCAGCCUGAGCCCGUUACUCACAAUAUUGUUUUCUGGACCAAUGGUUUCACUGUAAAUGAUGGUCCUCUAAGGAGGUUGGAUGACCCUGAGAAUGCAUCUUUCCUCGAGGUAAAUCAUUUUAUAUUUGAAGGGAUAAAGUGCGCUUAAGGAAAGAUAAGGUGUAUGGUAUGUUAGAACUUAAAAGCUAGAAUCUCCUUCCCUGUUGUAAUAUGCUUAGGUUGCUGACAGAAUUUUUCCUUUCAUUUUCCUUUUUACUACUUUUGUUCGAUAAUACGUAGCCAUGGCAACAGUUUAGUGUGGGAUUUUGGUGUGCUGUUUUGCUAAUGAAUUUAAUAAAUCUUGAUGCAGAGCAUCAAAAAGUCAGAAUGCCCAAAAGAGCUUGAGCCUGCAGAUAGAAGGGCUUCUGUCCGUGUCAAUCCGCUCCCCCCCCCCCCAACAAUGCCCUGUUAGUUUCUCUCUCUCUCUCUCUCUCUCUCUCUCUCUCUCUCUCUCUCUCCAUAUAUAUAUAUAUAUAUAUAUAUAUAACUGUCACUCGUAAACAUCCUCCCACAUGAAUGCACAUAGUUGCUCCAACCUUGGUGUUGACAAAAUUUAACACAGUUCAUUUGCACCAAUUAUUUGGGGACAAAGUUAAAUGGAUUUGGAUUUAGUGUCUAAACAAGAAUGUAUCUUUAUUGAGUCAAACCAGUUUACAUCUGUUGAAUAUUGAGUAUAAGCUGUUUGAACUCACUUCUCGUUUGGACCUUUUGAACUUGUUUGACUUGUGAAACAAGUCGAACAGAUUGCUCCUUUGACUGUGAUCCAUUUUUAGUAUUUAACCUAUUUGAUAUACACUUGUAUAAGAUGUGUCUAGAGCAUAUAUGUAUAUUAUGAUAUUAUGCAAUUUAAAAUUAAUAUACAGGUUAAACGGAUCAAUUCAGAUUUCACUUUUGUUAAUUCAUUUGAUCUCUUAGGAUAAACAGAGCAAGUGAAAGUGGAUCUCAACAGAUUGACUUGUAUAUUAAACGGGUUAUGUGUGGAUUAGAGGUUUAUUUAAAAAAAAAAAUGUAUGGAUUAGAGGUAUUAGCCUUUUAUGUUAUGUACGAGACAAACUGUUUAGACACAAUCUAUAUGUUUUGCCACCCUAUCAACGCAUCAAAAUUAUCUUCCAGUUUUAUCCAGGUUCAUACUAGAUAAGUUUUGGGAAUAAUCUAGUCAAUUCUAUUUGGGGCCUAUGUUUUGAGGUCACAUUCUUGCCUUUGCAGGAACCAGAGAAACGCCAGGUUCCAUUUCAAGGUGUGGGAAGAACCCUUGGUAGCAGUAGUAGUGCCACAGCAACUCCUGAACUGACUGCAGCUUCCUCUUCAGCCACCACUGCUCCAACCCCUUCUAUGGGCCUUGUUGUGGAUGAAACAUUACCGUCAACCUCUAUUCAGCUCAGGUUAGCUGACGGGACUCGCAUGAUCGCGAACUUCAAUCACCACCAUACUGUCAACGAUAUUCGUGCUUUCAUUGAUGCAUCUAGACCUGGGAACAUGAGGAAUUAUCAACUGCAGGUGAUGGGAUUUCCUCCUAAACUUCUUACCGAUCCAGCUCAAACCAUAGAUCAGGCUGGGCUUGCCAAUUCAGUUGUUAUCCAGAAAUUCUAGCAAAAAGCAAAAGGUUAUCAAUUAUCUCCUCUCUUGUUUUCCAGGCUGGUUACUGUACCAAGUGAAAAUACCCUACAGGCUACAAUCUAUAAUCUAUAUACAGAAAAGGGGUUUUGAUUUAUUAUUGUGUUGUUAAUGAUCUUAUUAUAUUCUAGUUCAUAUUUUCCCUACCUCUAUCCUUCUUCUUAACCCUAUUUUUCUGCCAUGGAUAUCUGUUAAUUAAUAUGAAUAUUUAUCUAGUUUCCAUAUUACUUUGGGAUCAAACCCAGAACUUUUUGUUUUGUAUAAGUAGUAUUUCUUUGUUAAGUCAGAUUGAAUGAAGCAUAUUUCUUCCCAAUUCAAUAUAUUUUUAUA
rnacentral:lncRNA from 1 species